GCACCUGUAGCUCAAUUGGCAGAGCAGCUGACUCUUAAUCAGUUGGUUCGGGGUUCGAUUCCCUGCAGGUGUACCA
rnacentral:tRNA from 1 species